rnacentral:misc_RNA from 1 species
AAAUGCAAUAAGUAAUGUGAAUUGCAGAAUUCAGUGAAUCAUCGAAUCUUUGAACGCACCUUGCGCUCCUUGGUAUUCCUUGGAGCAUGCCUGUUUGAGUAUCAUGAAAUCUUCAAAGUAAAUCUUUUGUUAACUCAAUUGGUUUCUACUUUGGUAUUGGAGGUCUUUGCAGCUUCACACCUGCUCCUCUUUGUUCAUUAGCUGGAUCUCAGUGUUAUGCUUGGUUCCACUCGGCGUGAUAAGUUAUCUAUCGCUGAGGACACUGUAAAAGGUGGCCAAGGUAAAUGCAGAUGAACCGCUUCUAAUAGUCCAUUGACUUGGACAAUACUUUUAUGAUCUGAUCUCAAAUCAGGUAGGACUACCCGCUGAACUUAAGC